AGUGUUGUGGUUCAGUGGUAGAACACUCACCUAGCAUGUGCAAGGCCCUGGGUUCGAUCCCCAGCAUCAUAU
rnacentral:tRNA from 1 species